AGCGAACGCUGGCGGCAGGCUUAACACAUGCAAGUCGAACGGGCGUAGCAAUACGUCAGUGGCAGACGAGUGAGUAACGCGUGGGAACGUACCUUUUGGUUCGGAACAACCCAGGGAAACUUGGGCUAAUACCGGAUAAGCCCUUACGGGGAAAGAUUUAUCGCCGAAAGAUCGGCCCGCGUCUGAUUAGCUAGUUGGUGAGGUAAUGGCUCACCAAGGCGACGAUCAGUAGCUGGUCNGAGAGGAUGAUCAGCCACAUUGGGACUGAGACACGGCCCAAACUCCUACGGGAGGCAGCAGUGGGGAAUAUUGGACAAUGGGCGCAAGCCUGAUCCAGCCAUGCCGCGUGAGUGAUGAAGGCCCUAGGGUUGUAAAGCUCUUUUGUGCGGGAAGAUAAUGACGGUACGCAAGAAUAAGCCCCGGCUAACUUCGUGCCAGCAGCCGCAGUAAG
rnacentral:rRNA from 1 species